UACGUAGGGUGCAAGCGUUAUUCGGAAUUACUGGGCGUAAAGCGCGCGCAGGCGGCUUUGCAAGUCAGAUGUGAAAUCCCCGGGCUCAACCUGGGAACUGCAUUUGAGACUGCAUGGCUGGAGUGCGGCAGAGGGGGAUGGAAUUCCGCGUGUAGCAGUGAAAUGCGUAGAGAUGUGGAGGAAUACCGAUGGCGAAGGCAGCCCCCUGGGAUAACACUGACGCUCAUGCACGAAAGCGUGGGGAGCAAACAGG
rnacentral:rRNA from 1 species